rnacentral:lncRNA from 1 species
GGCGGGGCGAACGCCGGCACGCGAGGAAGCGGGCGCUGACCGCCUCUCUUAAGGGCUGCGCGCCUGCGCGGGGAUCGCGACUGCGCCCUGACUGAGGGGAAACGGUCUGGGGGGCGCAUGCGCAGGAGGUUUUGGUGUUCGCUGUUGUGAGGGCGGCGCGGGGUGUGCGAUGGCAGGCGUGCAGCAGCGGGGUCUUCGGGCUGACUGUGCGGAAGGAGCGAGUGGGCUGGGGUCUGGGAGCUUCCAGUCCCAAAAUUCAGGUAAGGGAAGAUGGCUACGAAGAACAAGGUGGACAACUCUUUCAAGUGGAUGUCAUCAGAACACAUCAAGAAGCAUGCAGGGCUUUGUUUCUUCACAUUCCUGCUCCCCUAUUCAGUUGUUGAGGUGUAAGGAAUUCAAUCAUGCCAAAUGAGAUACUGAGCAUGAGGUCUUGGCUGAAGAGCUCACUGUGGGUUUUAAUACAACAGGGAAUGGUCCUGUUGUAUUAAACAGGAUCAUCUGAUUUUCAAAUCUUUCAGCUUUUUUACUUCUGCUGGUGACUGACAGUAAGCCACAUUUUUUAGUUUUCUUCUUUAAAAGGAGUUGAGCAGAAGAAUCACCCACUGGGUAAACAGCCUGCAAAAUCAGGACUUUCUCAAACGGAGGUGAACUGCCAUUGGACACCUAGAAGGCAAGUUUCUGCUUGAAGAAUGGAAAUGUGUCACUACUUUUUGCACAAAAUUUUUUAAAGCAUUGCCUUUUGCAUAGUUUUGUUGUCUUUUGUUUGUUUUUUAAAAAUGUCAUGUUGUUUCUGACAAUACAUGAAAAACACCUACAUGUUACUAUCAGCAGGUCAAAGGAAGAAAAAGACAUUUAACUAUGAGUACAUUUUUGUUCAUGGCAUUCUGCUUUAAGGUUCAGCCUCAUUGGAAGCUUGGGAUAAGCUGCAUGAAUUAACUUAUGUAAACUGUGCAUAGCAGAUACAUGAAGGUGCUGCUUGAGAGUGUUCUCUGACUUUUUAUCAGGGCACAGAGUUGAAUUUAUCCAAAUGAGUUGUGUCAUUCUUUGAAAUUAUGCAUGACUCCAGUGUUUGUCACAAGAAUAUAAGACCUGUCCCAUCCUUGAGAAGGCAUAAAUAAUUUGCUUAGUGAAUCAUAGGUGCAUACUAUGCCUAUGGCAGCUACAGCUGCUGUUUGUGUUGAAUAGUGAGUUAAUAUAGUUGUAUUACAGAGUAGUUUUAGAGUUGCUUUAUUUUAAAAGUAUUUGAGAAAUUGGAAAUAAGGAAUUAAUAACACUUAGUAAGCCAUUCUGUCACUGUUAGUGAUGUGCUUCCUGUUUUGCUAGAGAGACAUAGUGGCAGUCCAAUACAAGAAGAACAGUGAACAACAGUAUUAGAACAGCUGGGGAAUAAUACUGCCGUGGUAGCUUUGGUAGAAGGCUGCAAAACUGCCAGUGGAAAACAGGCUGUGAAAGUACAGAUGGAGGGCCUGUAGCCAUUCAAAAUUCUAAAGAAUCCAAGGCAUUGCACAGUGCUGCUUUCUAUUUCAUACAUGACUAUCUGGAGAAGUAAGUACAGUAAUGAGUGAAAAGGUGUGAAGAACUAGUUGGGAAUGGCUUUUGAGGAAACAGUUCUGACAGUGCUGUGCCAAGAGGAGCUGUCUGGACAACUUUUUAUCUGUUUUAAAUUCCCAAAGUGAAAUAUACUAUUUUGAGGAAUAUUGCUUGAAGAAAAGAAAGGGCCAUCUACCUUCUGAAGCAAUAAAUAUCACUUACUGAAAUAGCUACA